CAGGACAUAGCUAAGUUAGACAAAGCGGCUCCCUUACACCGAGCAGUCACCCGUGCAAAACGGGUUGCCCUGA
rnacentral:tRNA from 1 species